CCUACGGGUGGCUGCAGUGGGGAAUAUUGGACUAUGGGCGAAAGCCUGAUCCAGCCAUGCCGCGUGUGUGAAGAAGGCCUUCGGGUUGUAAAGCACUUUCAGUGGGGAAGAAAGCCUUGGGGCUAAUACCCUCGAGGAAGGACAUCACCCACAGAAGAAGCACCGGCUAACUCCGUGCCAGCAGCCGCGGUAAUACGGAGGGUGCGAGCGUUAAUCGGAAUUACUGGGCGUAAAGCGCGCGUAGGCGGUCUGAUAAGCCGGUUGUGAAAGCCCCGGGCUCAACCUGGGAACGGCAUCCGGAACUGUCAGGCUAGAGUGCAGUAGAGGAAGGUAGAAUUCCCGGUGUAGCGGUGAAAUGCGUAGAGAUCGGGAGGAAUCCCAGUGGCGAAGGCAGCCUUCUGGACUGACACUGACGCUGAGGUGCGAAAGCGUGGGUAGCAAACAGGAUUAGAUACCCUAGUAGUC
rnacentral:rRNA from 1 species